UUCAGCAGGCGCAGUCCUGGUGCGGAGCGGCGGGUUGCUCUGUGAGCUGGGGUCCCUGUUUGGCUCCCGUCACUGCAGGAUCGCCAGCAUCCAGGCUCUCGGACAUCUUCUCACAGAUUAUGUCUACCAGCCUCUCGAAGUCCUGCACUGCAGCGAAAGAGUCUUCAUUGGUGAUGUCGUACAUGAGGAUGAAGCCCAUGGCUCCACGGUAGUAGGCAGUGGUGAUGGUUCUGUAUCGCUCUUGUCCUGCUGUGUCCUGUUGAAGAAGUGCAAAAAGAUCAUCAAGAAAAAUGAAUGUCCAGGGACAUAAGGAUUUCUGAUUGCAGACAGAUAAAAAAUAAUGAAUAGGAGGGAACCGGGCCAUUUUUAAGGACCAGAAUUGACAUCAGAGCCCCAGAGACUUGGAGGUACUGUACAGGAAUGGCCACCAAGGAGUUUCAGCAACCACGCACCUCAACUCCACCCAUGUUCCGCCUCUUUGCCCAUUAUCGGUUAACUGGGAGUGACACACGAGGACUUCACCCCAGAUGGUGAAGGCCAGAUCCCGCCCACUUUGGGAUUCAAAAAUGCUCUUCAGAAACCUACGGGUGAGCAUUAUGUCCAUGUUAUAUACA